UAGGGAAUCUUCGGCAAUGGGGGGAACCCUGACCGAGCAACGCCGCGUGAGUGAAGAAGGUUUUCGGAUCGUAAAGCUCUGUUGUUAAGGAAGAACGAGUGUGAGAAUGGAAAGUCCAUACUGUGACGGUACUUAACCAGAAAGGGACGGCUAACUACGUGCCAGCAGCCGCGGUAAUACGUAGGUCCCGAGCGUUGUCCGGAUUUAUUGGGCGUAAAGCGAGCGCAGGCGGUUAGAAAAGUCUGAAGUGAAAGGCAGUGGCUCAACCAUUGUAGGCUUUGGAAACUGUUUAACUUGAGUGCAGAAGGGGAGAGUGGAAUUCCAUGUGUAGCGGUGAAAUGCGUAGAUAUAUGGAGGAACACCGGUGGCGAAAGCGGCUCUCUGGUCUGUAACUGACGCUGAGGCUCGAAAGCAUGGGUAGCGAACAGGAUUAGAUACCCUGGUAGUCCAUGCCGUAAACGAUGAGUGCUAAGUGUUGGGAGGUUUCCGCCUCUCAGUGCUGCAGCUAACGCAUUAAGCACUCCGCCUGGGGAGUACGACCGCAAGGUUG
rnacentral:rRNA from 1 species